CUGCGGCCGACGCCGGGUCCGCACCAACUGUCUCCCCCUCCCAGCUUCUUACCUCGGCUUCCUACUCCUUCCCCCGCCCGCCCAGCACCGCCAGCCCGGGAGAGCUGCCGGGAGUUCCCCGGGAGCCUCAGGUGGUGACUAUCCUGUUGAGAAGCAAAAGAUACUUUGCAAGUAAAAAAUAUGCCUCCCAAGUUUAAGCGCCACCUCAAUGAUGAUGAUGUCACAGGUUCUGUGAAAAGUGAAAGGAGACACGGUCUUGCUAUGUUGCCAGUGCUGGUCUUGAACUCCUGGGCUCAAGUGAUCCCCCCACUUUGGCCUCCCAAAGUGCUGGGAUUACAGGUGUGAGCCACUGCAC
rnacentral:lncRNA from 1 species